CGCAGAGGCAUCAUUGAGUGCAGCGUUGAUGAGCCGGCCCGGCCCGGGCAGGCCGCCGCCGACCCGAUCACGGCCCUCGCCGGCGGCUCACCAGCGCUGCACUCAAUUACGCCUUUG
rnacentral:pre_miRNA from 1 species